GGGAGUAUCGACCCUUUCUGUGCCGAAGCUAACGCUUUAAGUACCCCGCCUGGGAGUACGGUCGCAAGACUAAAACUCAAAGGAAUUGACGGGGGCCCGCACAAGCAGCGGAGCGUGUGGUUUAAUUCGAUGCUACACGAAGAACCUCACCAAGGCUUGACAUGUUAGAAGUAGUGAACCGAAAGGGAAACG
rnacentral:rRNA from 1 species